rnacentral:rRNA from 1 species
AUUGAACGCUGGCGGCAUGCCUUACACAUGCAAGUCGAACGGCAGCGGGCCUUCGGGUGCCGGCGAGUGGCGAACGGGUGAGUAAUGCAUCGGAACGUGCCAUUGAGUGGGGGAUAACGUAGCGAAAGUUACGCUAAUACCGCAUAUUCUGUGAGCAGGAAAGCAGGGGACCGCAAGGCCUUGCGCUCUUUGAGCGGCCGAUGUCAGAUUAGCUAGUUGGUGAGGUAAAGGCUUACCAAGGCGACGAUCUGUAGCGGGUCUGAGAGGAUGAUCCGCCACACUGGAACUGAGACACGGUCCAGACUCCUACGGGAGGCAGCAGUGGGGAAUUUUGGACAAUGGGCGCAAGCCUGAUCCAGCCAUGCCGCGUGAGUGAAGAAGGCCUGGUGUAAG